rnacentral:lncRNA from 1 species
UCUAGUUAUAGUUGGGGACAAUAUCUUCAUUUUAUUUAUUUAUUUUUAUGUGGUGCUGAGGAUCCAUCCCAGUACCUCACACAUGCUAGGCGAGUGCUCUACCACUGAGCCACAGCCCCAGCCCUUAAAUCCUAAUUUUCAUAUACAUAUAUCACUUUGUUUAUAAAGCACUUUCUCACAUACCUCUCUUGUUUUGCUGUUUUGCUUUUAUGUGGUGCUGAUAAUCAAACCUAUGGCCUUGCAAAUGCUAAGCACAUGAUUAAGUGAACUGCAUCCCCAGCCACAUACCUUUCUUGAUUCUCAUAAUAGCCCCGCAAAGAGAGUCUUUCUCCUGUUUUGUCAAUGAAGAAACAGACUCCUCAUUGAAGGGACUUGCCCAAAGUCACACCAUCUGCAAUGUAAAUUCCAAAUCCAGACCAGUUGUCCCUUUUCCCACCAUGCUUGGAAUGAAAGGGAAUCUAAAGCUAACUUUUGUCCAUGCUGGAUCUGAUCGAUGCUCUUCAAGAAGAAUUUGGCAGCAAAUUCUAAACCAGGUGACCACACUGUGGACUCAGUAUGCACUAUUCUCAGGGGGGUGAGAAUCUGUGGAUACUUGGCCUCUGGGGACAAUCCUCUGUCCUUACAGUUACCAUCUCCCAUCUUCACUUAGGCCUUUUCUGAAGUUGUUUCCAUAGGGGAGCUACCAUUAGGCUCAUGCGAGAGAGAACUCUGAAUUCUCUCCAUCCAUCAUAUAGUUCUCUCCCACUGUUUCUUUGCAAUAGUCCCCUUGCUACUCUUGAGGGAAAGAUAGUUUACUGUGCAACUGUAGCUCUCCCAUAGGAAAUGAAGAUGGCUGAACAAGUAGUGGUGUCUGGGGCUUGCAUAAGGAGC